UACGGGGGGGGUAAGCGUUGUUCGGAAUUACUGGGCGUAAAGCGCACGUAGGCGGAUUGCUAAGUCAGGGGUGAAAUCCUGGAGCUCAACUCCAGAACUGCCUUUGAUACUGGCGACCUUGAGUCCGGGAGAGGUGAGUGGAACUGCGAGUGUAGAGGUGAAAUUCGUAGAUAUUCGCAAGAACACCAGUGGCGAAGGCGGCUCACUGGCCCGGUACUGACGCUGAGGUGCGAAAGCGUGGGGAGCAAACAGG
rnacentral:rRNA from 1 species